CGUGUAGGCGGUCUGUUAAGUCUGAUGUGAAAUCCCCUCGCUCAACGAGGGAACUGCGUCGGAUACUGGCAGACUCGAGUACCGGAGAGGAAGGUGGAAUUCCCGGUGCAGCGGUGAAAUGCGUAGAUAUCGGGAGGAACACCGGUGGCGAAGGCGGCCUUCUGGACGGAUACUGACGCUGAGACGCGAAAGCGUGGGGAGCAAACA
rnacentral:rRNA from 1 species